AACAAAGUGUGACAGCCUUAGAGACUAACUUUCACCAGCCAGAGAUACCGCACCCACUGGCACAGCCCGGGGAAUGUUCUUAUUUCCAGCCUCAUCUAAAGGCCCUGCAUCUGGUAACCACGUCAACUCAGAAACAGACAGGAGCACCACAGUCACUGAAUGUUACUAUGAGAGGGUUCCAGAUCAUUUUCUUCUGAAUUUUGUCACCAUAGGGCAAACAGGAAAGCCACAGACUGCACAGCACAUGAGUCCUGCUUGUAUGUGAGACAAACAGGACAGAACUGCCAAAAGUAAGCAGGAAGUGGAGUCAUCUGAACAAAUGAAGUCCAGUUAAGCAGCAUACAGAAGGAUGUGCUGAGUUACCUGUGUGUGCAUCUCUACACCAGCACCAUUUACAGACAGAAAGGUUACUGUGAAAGUGCUUUUGAAGAACCAACUGGAGAUGAAAAAUGUGAAGAUGAGAAAUUUCACAGGAAAUCUGGGAACUUCAGGCAAAGUGAGCCAAACUAGAAAAACACUGACUACUGGAGAUGGACCUUUAGUUUUGAAAACAUCAGUCUGGAAAACAUUCUUCAGAGCUAAGUUACUGCUAAUUUGUCAUAGCUGAGACUACUCUGAUUUAGACAGCAUCUCAAUGCUGUAACCUGGAAUGUCUUCUUUUAAUUGAAGAGGCUUAAUUAAGCAUUUUCAACAGUGGUAGAGCUCUAUAAGUAGGGUUAACUGUAAGUAGGGUUAACCUGAUGCUGCUAUUUCUACAGGACUGUUCACAUGGAAUGUGGAAAUUUCACUAAUCUUUCUUGCAUCUGAUUAGCAAUGAGAAUCCUAACCACUAGCUUCCAGUCUAGUUUACUCUCCAGAUUAGGUACAUGCGUACUUCAUCUCAAGAGACCAACUUCACCUUCAACUCUCAAAGUCAGUCUAAGCUUUAAAGUACCAUAAACGCAUGCCAAGGCUUGUUACAUAAGACCAGCAGAAGCAGGAAUUGGCUUAAUUCAGAAGAGUAUUUUAAAUAUUUAAUGUCAAGGAAAAAAUACAGAUUAGAUUAUGACAGAUCUCAAAUCUGCGUGUUCAUUUAGACAUUUUUAGCCUCAAGAGCAGCUUAACAUUUUCAUUUGGCUUCCUCUGACAUGCCAUCUCACUUUGAACUACCAAUAUGAACAGCUGAGAUGCAUCUCCUACAAAGGCAAAGUGAAUUUAGUCAAGUAAUUCAGGAUAAGGAAUACAUAAACCUAUUUCAGAAUUAAACCAAGUGGUACCAAAAAGCAUGUGAGUGCAUGGGGCAAAACUGCUGGAUCAUCACUACAAACAAUUUAAGCAAACUUUUAUUGAAGCAUUAAGUUGUGGUACAGAUAUUUUUAAAUGAUCAAAGUCUAACACCACAGAAAUUAUAAACACCAUACUCCCCCCAUCCUGAUCACCCUAGAUAGUUCAAUAAUCCGUUCAACAGCUUUCAUUUUUAUAGCCAAGGCUUAUGCUUCUAUUUAUAAAAUGUGUAUUUCAGCAUUACUUGAAAAGGGAUCUUCAGUCUACUUGAAGGACCUCAAGCCAAAUGUCAGAUCGGUCGGGACAACAUUUAAGAACAAAAACCACUGAAAUAUUGGUCCUCAAUAUUAACACCAAAAAGCAUUAGUGCCAUUUACAGCAUGUAAUUGAUAACAUUGGUAAAGAACAUCAACAAUAUGCUUAAAAUAAAAAAUUCAAAGUGUUCCAACCACUUGAUUUCUAACCAAGCAGACUUUAGUUUAGAAGCACUGAAAAAGUGCUUCAUUUAUAAAUACGGAAGGAACAAAAAACCAUUGCGUCAAACCAGAAAGAGUCAAAACAUUGCAAGGACAAGAGAAAAAAACACUCAAUUUUGUAGGUAAUGUGCUGGUCUCACAGCUGUUAAAAUCCCAGUAUUCGCAAACGGCAUAGCUGAAAGUCUGCCAGCUUUUUUAAAGUCUGCAUUUUAGUCAAUACCCAUUAAAGUGACUUUGAAUUACACACUUAUUCAUGGUCUAUGAAUAGCAUUCUACUUCACUUCUGUCCAGGUGUGCCAGACAGUUCUUGUUCUAUGCCUUCACUUAAUGCCCUCAAGUCACAGUAAGAGGAACCACCUUAGAAAUUAGGAGGAAAAAACAGA